AGCGAACGCUGGCGGCAGGCCUAACACAUGCAAGUCGAACGAACCCUUCGGAGUUAUUGGCGGACGGGUGAGUAACAGGUGGGAACGUUCCUUUGUGGUUGGCAUAACUCUGGGACACUUAUGCUAAUACCGAAUGGGAGCUUCUGGGGGAUGAUUUAUCGCCAUUAGUGCGGCCCGCGUCUGAUUAGCUAGUUGGGUAGGUUACGGCUCACCAAGGCGACGAUCAGUAGGUGGUCUGUGAGGCUGACCAGCCACACUGAGACUGAGACGCGGCCCAGACUCCUACGCGAGGCAGCAGUGCGGAACCUUGCGAAAUCGGCGGAGGCAUGACGCAGUCAUGCCGCGUGAAUGAUGAAGGUCUUAGGAUUGUAAAAUUCUUUCACCGGGGACGAUAAUGACGGUACCCGGAGAAGAAGCCACGGCUAACUUCGUG
rnacentral:rRNA from 1 species